rnacentral:rRNA from 1 species
CCGCGAUUCGCCCUUGGGGUGCAGCAGGCGCGAAAACUUUACAAUGCCGGCAACGGCGAUAAGGGAACUUCGAGUGCCAGGUUACAAAUCUGGCUGUCGUGAUGCCUAAAAAGCAUUGCAUAGCAAGGGCCGGGCAAGACCGGUGCCAGCCGCCGCGGUAACACCGGCGGCUCGAGUGGUAACCGUUAUUAUUGGGUCUAAAGGGUCUGUAGCCGGCCGGGUAAGUCUCUUGGGAAAUCUGGCAGCUUAACUGUCAGGCUUUCAGGAGAUACUGCCUGGCUCGAGGCCGGGAGAGGUGAGAGGUACUUCAGGGGUAGGGGUGAAAUCUUGUAAUCCUUGAAGGACCACCAGUGGCGAAGGCGUCUCACCAGAACGGACCUGACGGCAAGGGACGAAAGCUAGGGGCACGAACCGGAUUAGAUACCCGGGUAGUCCUAGCCGUAAACGAUACUCGCUAGGUGUCGGCCACGGUGCGACCGUGGUCGGUGCCGUAGGGAAGCCGUGAAGCGAGCCACCUGGGAAGUACGGCCGCAAGGCUGAAACUUAAAGGAAUUGGCGGGGGAGCAC